UACGUAGGGGGCUAGCGUUAUCCGGAAUUACUGGGCGUAAAGGGUGCGUAGGUGGUUUCUUAAGUCAGAGGUGAAAGGCUACGGCUCAACCGUAGUAAGCCUUUGAAACUGAGAAACUUGAGUGCAGGAGAGGAGAGUAGAAUUCCUAGUGUAGCGGUGAAAUGCGUAGAUAUUAGGAGGAAUACCAGUUGCGAAGGCGGCUCUCUGGACUGUAACUGACACUGGGGCACGAAAGCGUGGGGAGCAAACAGG
rnacentral:rRNA from 1 species